UCUCGAAUCUUAACCGCACUCGAAUCUAAUCCGCAAAAAUUUGUGGCGACUUUUCAACAAAACGACAACAACACAAUCGAACCCCUUUUAAAAAAAAUACAGAUCUGCAACACCUCGGCUUCCCAGUGAAGAUGGGGUGGGUUUGAAUUUAUAAGGCGCCACGCAGUUUCAGUUACAGAUCGCUCUAACUGCGAAGAGGGCUGGAAGGGAAAAGGUUCGACAACACCAACAUAUAACAAAACACAAAGAAAUCGCGAAAUCAUAUACCAUAUAAAAACAAAUUUAUUAAGGAAAAAAAAAUAUGGUAAAACAAAAUAUAAAGUAUAUAAGUAGUAAAUAAAAUAACGGAGAUUGUUCAAAAAAAAAUCCCGAAUAAUUAGGGGGGUAAAAGAGAAAGAAAAUAAUAAUGAGCUGAAUAAAACAAAAUUAAAACAAAUCUAAAUAAUGAUCGCGACACGUCCCCGAUUGACCCGAGCGCUCGAUCAGGCGAACGGAAAAGAAAACAAAAUCGAAAUCAAUACCGAAAUUAAUAACACCCCUAAUAAAUCCGAUAACUUUACAAGAAAAAUUAAUUGACAAUUAAAAUGAGAUAAUAAUAAUAAAGAACUGGUUUAAAGUGAAAUGAACAAAAUGAACCAGUGAAGUUAACAAAAAAAUUAAAUGGAAAAUUCUGACCUUUAUUCCAAACUCUUUUGAACGAAGGAUGAUGACUUCACGAUGACAACAAUUAUACGUAGAUACAGCAACAAAAUCCAGCAAACCUCCUUUGGAAACACUUGUUCGAUGGUAGUACUUGUUUCCGGGAUGGGAGAUUUCCCAAGAACUUAUAUAAGGAAUAAGGCUCUCAGAAAAAAAAAACCUAGCGUGUAAAAAAAGAAAGAAAAAUGUAAAUAGAUAAUUAGGCAAGAAUGUAGGGAUGGAUGUUUUUAUGUAGUGUGAAAGGAGUUUAAAUGAAUUUAGGUUUAAGUUAGUAUUAAGCCAAAAUUAGAGAAAAUGUAAAAAGAAAAACCUACCUCAAGGUGGUAUGAGGUUUUAACCAGCAAAAUGAAUAGUCUUUGUAAAAAUGUGCAAUAAAUCCGGUGAAACCGUAAUCGUUGAAUAAUUUCCAAACGAAAAAUUAAAGGAUUAAUUAACUCAGAUCCCGAUAAAUACGGAUAUAAAUCGAUCCAAAAUUCUACACAGAAUUAUACCAAAAUGUCGACUUAAAAUUCUUGUUAACCAUCCAAACACUACAAAGGCUGGUUUCAAAAGAGGAAGAGUAAAAUCGCGCACGGGUAUUCAUUUCCCAAGAUUUUAACCAAAAAACUCGUUAUAAAAUCGCGCGGUGCCAAGAAUUCAAAAUCACUCCCUCCCUCUAUUAUUGACAGUCCGAACUUAAAAAUGUAAACAAAAUUCAUGAUAGUAACGAAGAAGAGAAAAAGAAAAGUUUUAAGGUUAAGAUUUAUUGUGUGAUUGUAAUGAAGGUAAUGAAAAAGAAAAAGGCGUUUAAAAUGAGCGAAAGGAAAGGAUUUAAGAAAAGUGAUGAAAAGGAAAGGAUUUUCAAGUGUUUCCAAGUUCGGCUUGCUGUAACAAAAAAACAAAAAUUAUAACAAGACAAAUCACAAGGAAAUUCAAUAACCUCGAACGGAACCGUUACA